CGGCAACAGCUCAAAUUUGAAAUCUGGCCUUUGGCCCGAGUUGUAAUUUGUAGAGGAUGUUUCGGGUACGGUCGCGGUUUAAAUUUCUUGGAACAGAAUGUCAAAGAGGGUGAGAAUCCCGUCUUGGACCGCGGUACGGCCUAUGUGAAACUCCUUCGAC
rnacentral:rRNA from 1 species